GCAUGGUGGUAUAGCGGUUAGCGCAUUUGCCUUGUGCCUCCUGGGUCGGAGGUUCGAUUCCUCCCCACUGUG